GAGUUUGAUCAUGGCUCAGGGUGGUAGGAACAUUGAGGCUGGGGCCGCCUGAGGCUUUGGCAUGAGGCUGGGGGGCUGAGGAGAGAUGUGAAACAGUUACACCGGGGUGAAGGUGUCAGAGAGGCCUCUCAGUUUCAGCUUGAGUCGGCAGGCAGGCCAUGGUGGUGGCUGGUGGGAAGUCACCACUGCCCCAGGCCAGAGAGGAUUGCCUCUGAGCCAGGGAUGUCCAGGGCUGCCUCUGAGAGAGGUACGGGUGGGAGUGGACACGGGCAGGUCAACCACUGUCCCUGCCCCAUGACCCCGACACAGGUCAGAUGACCCAGAUGUGGGGGCCAGGGCAGGAGCAGUUGAGGGGCCAGGCUAUCAGCUGAGUCGAAAGUUGGGACCCCA
rnacentral:rRNA from 1 species